UACGUAGGGUGCAAGCGUUGUCCGGAAUUAUUGGGCGUAAAGAGCUCGUAGGCGGUUUGUCGCGUCUGCUGUGAAAACUCGGGGCUUAACUCCGGGCCUGCAGUGGGUACGGGCAGACUAGAGUGCGGUAGGGGAGACUGGAAUUCAUGGUGUAGCAGUGAAAUGCGUAGAGAUCAUGAGGAAGACCAGUGGCGAAGGCGGGUCUCUGGACAGUUCCUGACACUGAGGCACGAAGGCCAGGGGAGCAAACGGG
rnacentral:rRNA from 1 species